GCAAAUUAACAGCACACUAUUGAAUCUGGUGAACAAAAAUUUACUAUGUCGUAUGUGUGUAAGACAACAUAUGCGGGUGGGACAUCCUCUCAAUAUUUAUGUUUAUGACUAUUAUUAUGAUCUUAAUAUGCAUUAUUUAUAGAUGUUUCAUAAUCAAAUCAUUGUUUUAACCAUGAAUUUAUGUGCUAUUUGUUUUAAAAUUGUAUCAUGUUUGGGUAUUCAAUUUUUGCAAUCAGUUACAAUUCUUAGAAAAUCAAUAUAAUAUUGAAUUUCAACAAUUGAUAAAUAGUUUGAAUAUACGACGAUCCAAACAUGUUAGAGAUCAUAACACUGUAGUUAUAUGGGAUUUAUUACAAAAGCUAAUGAAUGACAGG